rnacentral:rRNA from 1 species
AGAUUGAACGCUGGCGGCAUGCCUAACACAUGCAAGUCGAACGGGAGUAGCAAUACUCUAGUGGCGGACGGGUGAGGAAUACGUAGGAAUUUGCCCUUAAGUGGGGGAUAACCCGGGGAAACCCGGAUUAAUACCGCAUGACCUCGAAAGAGCAAAGUGGGGGAUCGCAAGACCUCACGCUUUUGGAGAAGCCUACGUCGGAUUAGCUAGUUGGUGAGGUAAUGGCUCACCAAGGCGACGAUCCGUAACUGGUCUGGAGAGGAUGAUCAGUCA